UCCCGUCGGCUGCGCUGUCUGCCAUCAUAGAACAGAGACCCCCUUUCCUGCAGUCCCUCAUUUCCCGAGCAGUUCCCAAAGCCACCUCCGUGGUUUUGGGUAUCUGUUACAGCAACACCCGCUUCCAGGAGCAAAAUCUGUGCCAGAUAGCGCGCGCGGUUGGAGAGACCCUGCCGGCGGGAGACCGUACUGGGAGGUUCCAUGGUUGUGGGGCCGGCUGGGCAGGGCCGGAAGCCGCAGGGCAGGCCCCGGGGAGGGCAGGGGGCUGGCCGGCCUGAGCACUCUGCUCUGUGCUGGUGGAAGGCUCGGCCUGUGGCGAAGGCUCUCACCCGAGAGAACCAGGCCCCUCGGAUUAUCUAGCCAACCGACUGUGGGCCUCAGUCGCGUCCGCACAUCUUCAGCCCCCUAGGCACCCCCUCGGCAACCCCGUGGGACUCCAGCCGUAAGGAACGCGCCCUGUAGCAAGCAGGAAGGAGGAGGGAGUUCAGCGUGGGAACCAUGCACACGACAAGAUGAGGUGUCAGCGCUGGGGUUUCUGCAGGGCUCAGCUCCUUCGGUGGAUGUUUCUGGAUGUCUGUGUUUAAGGCUGUUGUGCCCGGCUUGGCACCAACCCGCUCACCACAGGGGAACCACGACAGCUCCUUCUAGCCUCACAACUCCUCUCGCUGCAUGUGUUUUAGAAGAAGGGUCAUUUGAGCGGCUCUGCCAGGCUGCUGUGGACCAGGACUCAGGUGCAAAGUGCGCUGGAGGGAACGAGAGGAUCUGUCAGGAGAACAGACUUCGUAAGAGGAAGGAGAGAGGACAGGAGGAUUCCGAAUUCUCAGGUCUGUGGGUAGUGAUGCCUUCCACUGUGGCUGAGCUUUGGCUGCCCCAUCGUUCUGGCCCACAGUGCUGGGAGCCUCCCCUCCAGAUGGGCCUCUCCCUUCCCAUGAUCUCAGCUGGAUUCUCUGACCGCCUGGGGCCUGACUCACACAGGCUCCCCGUUCCCUGACCCUCGUCAUCCUGGCUACAGCUCUGUUCCUCUGAAGGGGAGCUGGGUCUGGUCUGCUCUGACCCUGGGGAGAUUCUUGGCACAAUGAAGGGGUGGGGAGGAGGCUGUGGGAGAAGGGAGAUGAGAAGCUUGUGGCGGGGGCUGGAGGGAGAGGCCUCGGGGCCAGCCGUGCAGGGUCUUCGGGGCACUUCCCAAGAGGGGGUCUGUGUACGGCCCCAGCUUUUGGAAGGCCCCCCUGUGAUCAUUGAUGGAGGAAGGCCCAGAGCAAAACCACCUUACUGGAGAGACACGGCAGGAGGAGAAGGAGGAGGAAUGAAGAGACCUGCUUCUUUCCCUCGUCCCACCCGCCGGGCACUGGGGCACCACCAUGGGAGGACACCCCGCCAGGACCCUGCCAGCAGGGGAAGCCGGCUGGGACCGCCGUUUCUAAAGCAAGGAUUUAUGUUCUGGAGACGCAGAAGGAAAACACGAAGAGAUAGAGACUAGAAUGGCAAGUAACACGUGCAAUGAAGAAAGUAGCCUGAGCCUCAGACCCCCUCCCAGCCCAGUCAAGGCCUUCCUGUGACCUCUGACCUAUGAAAUCAUUUCUUCGGUGGAGUCACCCUUCAAGACAAAAGGGUCCGCCCUCCUGGACAAGCUCCCUUGUGACUUUUCUCAGAGACAGUGGAAAAGACCAGUCCUUCCCACCUGUGCAUGGUCCCCUCCAACCCCCUCCCAGCCCCCAUCUGGCUGGAUUCUCACUGCACCCCCGAGAAUUGGGUAUUACUGUCCUCACGUUACAACAGAAAAAGCGAAGGGUCAGAGAGGCAGAGUGACGUUCCUAAAAAGUAUUAUCCUGGUUUCUGAGCUCCCGCCUCUCCCCUCCAGACCUUCCCUCCCAUGCUCUCCUCAGCAAAGUCAGGCCAGACUCUGCAAACCCUCUUCUCUCCUGGCCAGCUGGUGUCCCCUUGGGUUUUGCCAGCAGGAGGCACUUGGGGGAAUACCAGGAGCGGGAUUGGGGAGAAGAAUGCCCGCCUUCUGGUUUUACCUGUUGCUCCUGCAAGUGGCCUCACCUGAGAUCCCAGUCUCUUGGGACCCCAGCUGCCGCAGGUGUUCACUGCUCCCUAGGCUGGUUCUCCAGGCCCGAGGAUCCUCUCCGAAGGAUUGGGUGGGUGGGCAGGUUGGGGGUGGGGUCUCCUGUCCUCCCACAGCUGCUGGGAAAGUGCCACAAAUUCACUUGUUCUCUUAAUUUGUGAAAACUUCCUCCACUUGUCUGUGAAGAGCCGCUCAGAAACACCCUUCUCAUUACAAUGUUAAAUUAAAAUUUAGUAGACGAGGCACAUAGCAGAAUAAACUUUCAAUUAAAAUGUACACACUCCGGUGGUGGAAGGGGGCUGGAGAGAACUUGCAGGCAUCUUUGCUGCGAAUGUGCUCGAGAUUUAAUUUUACUAUGACAUCUCCUUGGAAUUACACUGCUAAUUGAUCACAUUGUGUCUGUCUGUUAUUUAAACUUUCAAUAAAACGGAGAUUAAUGGAAGGUGUAAUCCUCCCGGGCAGAACAAAUAUUCCCAUUGCUCAUGUCAGGUACAGAAAUGGAAAUGCUUGGCUAACAGCUUUUUGCAUUCAAUCUGCGAACAUGAAGUUAAUCAUGAAAAAUGCAGUGAUUCUUUAAUUGCUUGAAUGAAAUUUUUUCUGCCUGCCCCAUUUCUCACCCAAAAUAGCCACCCUUGUUGGAGG